CCUACGGGGGACAGCAGUGGGGGAUAUUGCACAAUGGGGGGAACCCUGAUGCAGCGACGCCGCGUGGGUGAAGAAGCGCCUCGGCGCGUAAAGCCCUGUCAGCAGGGAAGAAAAUGACGGUACCUGAAGAAGAAGCCCCGGCUAACUACGUGCCAGCAGCCGCGGUAAUACGGAGGGGGCAAGCGUUAUCCGGAUUUACUGGGUGUAAGGGGGGCGCAGACGGCGGUGCAAGCCAGGAGUGAAAGCCCGGGGCCCAACCCCGGGACUGCUGUUGGAACUGCGUGGCUGGAGUGCAGGAGGGGCAGGCGGAAUUCGUGGUGUAGCGGUGAAAUGCGUAGAUAUCAGGAGGAACACCGGUGGCGAAGGCGGCCUGCUGGACUGCAACUGACGUUGAGGCCCGAAAGCGUGGGGAGCAAACAGGAUUAGAUACCCGGGUAGUC
rnacentral:rRNA from 1 species